UAGCUCAGAGGUAGAACACUUGCCUCACAUGCAUGAGACCCUGGGUUCAAUCCCCAG
rnacentral:tRNA from 1 species